rnacentral:rRNA from 1 species
GACGAACCGUGCGAACGUUGUUCGGAAUCACUGGGCUUAAAGGGCGCGUAGGCGGGCGGUCAAGUCGGGGGUGAAAUCUUUCAGCUUAACUGGAAAAGUGCCUCCGAUACUGAUCGCCUCGAGGGAGGUAGGGGCAUGUGGAACUUCCGGUGGAGCGGUGAAAUGCGUAGAUAUCAGGAAGAACACCUAUGGCGAAGGCAGCUCUCUGGGACGGUACUGACGCUGAGACGCGAAAGCGUGGGGAGCGAACAGG